ensembl:lncRNA
AGAGGCUUCAAGAAUCUAAUCUGAAACCUGGCUGCAUGGCUUCCGGGCAUCUAAUGAUGGGCCAGGUCAGUGUCAAGGGGGAACCUCAGCCAGCGGCUCUGUGAGAAAGUGCGCCUGAGAGGACCCUCGAGGGCAGUCCCUGGAGGGGCUCAGCAGCGAAGCCCCCAGGCUCGGGACACUCGGGCCAGAUCGAUGGAAUCAGUCCCCGGAGGCUCUAGGCAAUGCCUUGGCAGGGCUUCUCUGAAAUAGAAUGUAGUUCAAGAGCCAGCUGAGUCUGAUGUUUAUACACAUUCCUGCAAAUGGGAGUGCAGGAAAUGUUAAACACCUUCAGAAAUGAUGACAGAAGCACUGAGUUGAGGAGGCUGAGGCAGACAGAGCAAGGUUGAGCACCGGAAAUCCAGCCUGUACCUUGAGGGGGGCAGCUGUCCCUAUGCCUAACCUUGCAGGGUGUGUGUGCAGGUGUGUGUGUGUGUGUGUGAGUGUGUGUGUGUGUGAAUGUGUGCAUGUGUGUAUGAGUGUGUGUGCAUGUGUGUGUGUAUGAGUGUGUGUGAAUCUGUGUAUGAGUGUGUGAGUGUGUGCGAGGGUGUGUGUGAAUGUGUGCAUGUGUGUAUGAGUGUGUGUGUAGAUGGGGGCAUCUCUUCUUGUUGAUCUGAGGAAUCUUUAUGCUCACUCAAUAGGUUGGUGUGAACACUAACUGAAAGCAUGGAUAUAAAGCAUUUGGCACAGUCACUGGGAUAUAUUAAGUGUCUAAUCAAUGGGAGUUGUUGCAGUUGCCACUUCAUCUGUGGGAUUUGCUGGGAGGAAAGAGUGAGUCACAGGAGGAUGAAGCUCCCCAGUUAAGGGUCCAAUUCCUCCUUUAUUAAUGAUAUCAAAUCCCUGAGGGCAGGGAAAGCCAAUACUGUGGUGUCCACUCUGUGUAGAAUGUGGCUCGAGGCUAAGAUUCCCUCUCUUUCUCCCAGCUUGUGGCCUCUCUCCAUCUUGAAAAAGGUUUAGCAGAGCUUAGGGGAGAGGGGAGCAGAGCCGACCCCACAAACCCAAAAGAGCAAACACCCCUUCACCCCAGGACUGGCUGCACCUCGCACAUUCUGACACAUCACCCAUGUUUAUGAGAAAUGAACAUCUUCUGCCUCAUCCCAUGACUUUGGGGAUUCCCGUCGUAGUUCAGUGGCUGAUGCUUGACACAGAAUGACAUUACCUGUUGCCAUUAUCUUUUAGUCUUGCUGAAAAGCAAACACAAACUGGACCCAAGGCCUAUGAGUUUGUUGCCA